AUUGAACGCUGGCGGCGUGCCUAAUACAUGCAAGUCGAGCGAACAGACGAGGAGCUUGCUCCUCUGACGUUAGCGGCGGACGGGUGAGUAACACGUGGAUAACCUACCUAUAAGACUGGGAUAACUUCGGGAAACCGGAGCUAAUACCGGAUAAUAUAUUGAACCGCAUGGUUCAAUAGUGAAAGACGGUUUUGCUGUCACUUAUAGAUGGAUCCGCGCCGCAUUAGCUAGUUGGUAAGGUAACGGCUUACCAAGGCGACGAUGCGUAGCCGACCUGAGAGGGUGAUCGGCCACACUGGAACUGAGACACGGUCCAGACUCCUACGGGAGGCAGCAGUAGGGAAUCUUCCGCAAUGGGCGAAAGCCUGACGGAGCAACGCCGCGUGAGUGAUGAAGGUCUUCGGAUCGUAAAACUCUGUUAUUAGGGAAGAACAAAUGUGUAAGUAACUAUGCACGUCUUGACGGUACCUAAUCAGAAAGCCACGGCUAACUACGUG
rnacentral:rRNA from 1 species